CCCAAUUGAAGCAAAAAUACUCUUUUUCUCAAAAUUCUCUCAAGAACACAAGCUAGGGUGUUCAUAGAAGAUCCAUUUACAAGAAAUUCUCUUUGUGAAACUUCAUGAAAUAACGAACUAAGGACAAAACCCAAGUGGGAUAAAUUACUUAAGAAAAUGGGCAAAACCAGAAGAAAAUUACAUGCGAUGGAGAGUUUGACAGAUCGGCAGAACCUCGACGGACCGUCGGGACCCACCGUUGCAAAGGAGCAGAAGACCAGGCCACUGGAAUCAUGCGACGAUGGCAUGCAACAGACCAUCGGACUUACGACAGACCAUCAAAAGACACCGUCGUGGCUGAGCAAAAUCCAUCGACAUUGGAAUCAAGCAAUGGUCACGUGCGAUGGACCGUCGGACAUGCGACAGAUCGUCGACGUGCACCGUUACACUUGGCGCGACAAAUUUCAAGUUUUAAAUGUGAAACCCUGAUUUCAAGAGUCCUAUAAAUACUAAGUGAUAGGGUUUAUUUCAGACACUCUUACAUUUUCAUUAUUAUCUUCCACACUUUCUUAGCCUCCUUCUUAGCUUAGUGUUUUUCUUUCAUUCCCACCUACCUUUGACUUUUCUUUUGGAAGCUAGAUCUGAGAUCUACAUUUCCAGAUCUAGCUCUCUACCCUUCUUUUGUAUCUUGUUUUUCUACUUCUUUUGUAACUUGGCAUAUUGUGGGAAGUAAGCUUUAGCUUUGGGAUUUUAAUCAUUUUAUUUGUACUGAAGACUCAAGAACACAUUCUUGUCAUUGUUGUAAAUAGAUCUUAAAUUAUUUAUGAACAACAUAAUGAUAUUUUUUGCUUCUUCUA